AUUGAACGCUAGCGGCAUGCCUUACACAUGCAAGUCGAACGGCAGCGGGGGAGCUUGCUCCCGCCGGCGAGUGGCGAACGGGUGAGUAAUACAUCGGAACGUACCCAGUAGCGGGGGAUAGCCCGGCGAAAGCCGGAUUAAUACCGCAUACGCCCUACGGGGGAAAGGGGGGGAUCGCAAGACCUCUCACUAUUGGAGCGGCCGAUGGCUGAUUAGCUAGUUGGUGGGGUAAAGGCCUACCAAGGCGACGAUCAGUAGCUGGUCUGAGAGGACGACCAGCCACACUGGGACUGAGACACGGCCCAGACUCCUACGGGAGGCAGCAGUGGGGAAUUUUGGACAAUGGGCGAAAGCCUGAUCCAGCAGUGCCGCGUGUGCGAAGAAGGCCUUCGGGUUGUAAAGCACUUUUGUCGGGGAAGAAAUCGUUUGGGUUAAUACCCCGAGCAGUUGACGGUACCUGAAGAAUAAGCACCGGCUAACUACGUGCCAGCAGCCGCCGUAA
rnacentral:rRNA from 1 species